GCUUGGUAACAUCAUAUGUUUUCUACAUGCUUGUGCGGCUUUAUUUACAAUUAUUUAUAGUUAAUAAUUAUGACAAUGUUCUCUCGAUUUUGUAACUUGUGUCACAAAACCGCGAACGUUCAGUUUAUGCAAUUUCAAAGAUGUUAUAAAAGAGGUAUCAAAAGGAAGGGUAAUGCUAGUCGCAUUGAGAGACCAAAUGACACAGAAGGAAAAACACCAAUAAUUGUUUGCAAACGGAAGGAGUUUAAUUUUUACGAAGGACAAACAUAUUCUAAAUUUGAACCUAUACCACUUGCUAGUAAAGGAUGGCAGCAUUAUAAAUCUAAAGGGGAUUUUUUCUUCGUAUAUCCUCUUACAAAUGUGGAAGAAGAGGCAUUUGAUAAUGAAUCACACAACGAAGAAAACAUAUGCGAUACCUUUGCACAGUUUGGCUUAAAUCCACAAAUAAUAAAUAUCUUAGAAAAAUACAAUAUAACAAAACCUUUGAAGAUACAAACAAUUGGAAUACCUCAGAUAUUGAAUGGUGCUAAUACUAUUAUAGCAGCUGAAACUGGUUGUGGAAAGACCUUAACUUAUCUUCUACCCAUGAUAGAUAAAGUUUUAAGAUGGAAACAAUUAGCAGAGAACCAUUACAAUUCUCCAAUGGGAUUGAUUAUUACACCUACUCGAGAAUUGGCAUUUCAAAUUGGACUAGAAGCAAAGAAAAUAUGUCAACAUCUUGGUAUUUAUGUACAAACUAUUACUGGUGGAAAAACAGGCAAGAUGUUGUUAGAUCCACCCGUAGAGAAAGUUGACAUUAUUGUAGCUAGUUUUGGAGUCAUCAGUAAAUUAACCACACAUAAGGUUUAUAAAUUGAACAUGGUCAGAUCUAUUGUAUUAGAUGAAGCAGAUGCCUUAUUUCAUGAAACAUUUGAAGAAAAGUUACAAGUAUUCCUGAAAAGAGUACCGCUCGGCUUUGUUCAAAAUGUAGACGAAGGUAGCUCCAAACUACCGAUAGGUGCCCAAUUCGCAGUAGUAUCUGCAACAAUGCCUUCAAGAAUGUCAAAAGUUCUAAAGAAUAUUAUAGAUGUUGAAUCAUUGGUAAAUAUAAUUUCGGAUAAACUACAUCACAUUCUCGUACCACAAAAAUUUAUGAGAGUAGGACCAGAUGACAAACCGAUGGAACUUUUAAAAUAUAUCAAACCGAAAAUAGCCAAUAGAGAGCAAGUAAUCAUAUUUAAUAACACUAAUAGCACUUGCAACUGGGUCAGUAUGUUUCUGAAUAAAAGCAAAAUAGAAACGGUUUGCUUGAACGGCGACAUGCCAAUGUAUGAAAGGCAAAACAAAUACGCCAGCUUCAAGGGUGGUAGAUGCUGCGUGUUGUGCACUACAAACGCGGGAUCCAGGGGAAUGGAUACAGUAGCGAUACGCCAUGUGUUGAAUUACGAUUUUCCAAACGCAACUGCUGAUUACAUUCACAGAUGUGGUAGAACCGGAAGAUUCGGCGGCGUUAAGGAUUGUAGAGUAACGAAUUUUGUAAGCACUCCGUCAGAAAUUAGUAUGGUACAAAAGAUAGAGAGAGCGGUUCGAAAGAUGAAACCGAUACCAAUAUUCGAUAUUCAUGAAGAAAAGGAAGAUGGCAUUUUGGAUUUACUUGAGUCCAAGAAUAUUGAAGAAAAUCAGCAACAAGAAUUUAGCAUGCCGUAUUGAUGCAACAUCAUUUCUAGGGAGAGGAAACCGCGACCCACACACACGUGCGUGACAUGCCUCGUUCGACCGAUGUCUCCCGUCAUGUCCGGCGGCACUCCCACAUGGUGAACGCCCACACGCGCGGCAAAUAGUAAUACUUCCCCCUCCCCUCCAGAUGAUGGUGGUAGACCUUGUGUCUAGACCGUUGCUGUCAGUUUAUUAUUCGCGCGCCGGGUUUUAGCGAAAUUAAAUGCAACCGGCACGCGCUGACGGUCACGUGCUGGGUGCGCCGAAUCACGUGUGUCAUUGCGACACAGGAGGACCCCCUGCGUCCCGUGAGACAAGGGGGAACAACACCUCGGAGCAACGAAUUAUAUCACGCCGAACGUCAUGCGUGAAUGAUAAAGCAGUACUCAUUCACCUACUAUAAAAUUUUUCUCAGUGUGGCUUUGUCUUUUCAUCGUAUAUAUUCUUUAUUUUUGACUGGCAAAGCUGUUGUAUCAGUCGAGACGGCGCUCCCGGAUAUGCUUCUGUUAUGCAUUCACGAUUUAAUACACGUCGUUAACGCGCUCCUGAAAGAGUAUACACUAAAGCCGGUCACACCUUUAGUAUUCACUGUCAUUAAAGUAGAUAUAGCGAACGGCGCGUAAGCCGUCUUUGUCAUCGCCGAGAAACGGUAGUGCCGGGGUAGUGCCGAUAGUGACGACUGCGAUGAUAAUGGAUUAAUUAACGUGGGUAGCCACAUGACAUGUAGGACAGGAGCGGUAUGGGGGUCAGGCGAUAUAACGUCCUCCAUGCGGGAGAUCUCGUCUCUGAUCUUAACCAGACGUGGUUCGCGCCACACGCGCGGCUUUUGACAGGCGUCGUACAGAGUACAUGUACUUUGAUCCCCGAUGUUCCACGCGCGUUUCGUUUUUUAUUCUAAUCUAUUUUUUUAAACUACAUCUUCAGAGAGUUAUAUCAGAUUACGAAUCUUUUUUAAAAAUAUUAGGUAUCAAUCUAAACCAUGCUAUCAAUCAAUAGAUCGCAUUUUUUUUUUACUUUAAUUAUGAUUGAUUGUAUCACUUGUGAAUGUAGAUGUAAUUAGUACGGAUUAUGUAUGUCGAUUAUUUUGCUACAUUUAUGCUUGUGAGAGGGAGAGAGCACACUUUUAUUUAAUCUCAAGAUGCUUAAUAUAUCUAAAAUAUUAUCUUUGAAUAACAAAAUAUUAUUGCGAACAUUUUCGUAAAGAAUAUAAACGAUGAAAAUAUUAAAAAACGCAGUUUUUUAAAUAUAUUUUUAAUAAAAAAAAGUAUUAUAACCGCGAUUAUUAUUUUUUAGAAUUAAAAUCGAUUCGAUUGUAAAUUCUCUUCAUAUUCUGUCAAAAGAAUGUUUUGAUUCAUUAUCAAAUAUUAUCAUAAGAACAAGAAAAUAAUUAUAUAUAUAUGACGCUUAAUUGUCUUGAUGAAAGCCCGAAGCGCGCGCUGUUCGCAUAGAGAUAAAAGAGGUAGUUUAUACCAAGUUUCUGCGUUGACGUGGGCUGUUAUUGUUUACGCGGAGAUGCCCAACACUGAUUUUCGAGAAGAAUAGCGCGCACCCGCAUCCAGGAGUGACCGAAAAAAAAGAUGCGACUCCUUGUGAAAACACGUGGCAGCGACAACGACCUACGAGAAAAGAAAAAAUAGGCCAGUCGUUACGCACAUAUGUGUAUGCACAGUAUACACAAAGCACAUAGUUUAUAAGAAUUUAUUUGCGAAUUUAUUUAUUUAUGAUAUUUUUAUAUUUGAUAUAUGAUAAAAGCGCAUUUAUAUAAUUGAAAAUCGUAAUCAAACACAUUCAAAAACGGAGUCAUUUGUAUCUGAUAUAAUGGAGUUGAAAUUCUCUCCGUUUCUCUCUCUCAGAUAAAAUGAAAAAUGGCAACAAAUUGUCGAUAAAAAUGA